GAUUUUAAACAAUAAAAAUCCAAAUUUUUAAAUUUUAUAAUGAAUGUAAUUUUUAAGUUAAUCUUCUUUUUAAUACUACAUUACCUCUUAGUAGACAAGAAAAUAUAUAAGGAGUCAGGUCAAUUCAACACCCACUAGCAAUUCCUAAAGAUUCCAAGGCAUUCAUGCUGGGGUUUUGUUUUUGGUAUUCCAAGGCAUUCAUGCUGGGUUACUAGGUAGCUGGAGGUGAAAUGGCUGCAUACAACUUCCCUAACAAAAUUAUAGGUAACUAAUAUAAUCUCAUGCAUGAAGCCAAGUCACUAAGAAAUUAGGUAACGAUUUAGAAGAGCUGCUAAAAAAGGUAAGAGAAUAUUAAAUACACAGAGUACAAAAAAAUAUAUAUAUUUUCUAGGAGUCUUUCCAUAAAUUACGAGAGAUGAAUAUCACAUUAAUAUGAGUGAGAGUAUUAAUCUGAAUGUAUUUAAUAAUAUCUCAGAAAGAGUAUGCUUGGCCCAGCGCAUCCUUUCAUGCAUUGCUCCUAUCUCCAAAGAAUGUUUUUUGUCCCUAAGACUUUCAUAAAUAUAUUAGUGUUGGUCAGAAAUGAAUCUAGCAGUCUUCACACUAAAUGGAAAAAUCUAAGUAUAGAAAAUCAGCUCUUUUUCUUUCUCAUAGACAUAGCAAAUAAUCUCCACUGCAUGUCAACGAUAAUUUCAUUCCAUGUUGGAAACAGAGAACUACUGGGUAAGUCAUGGUGUUGGACAUUAGGGUGUCCUUUUUUUUUCUUUUUUGGAAUUAUCAUGAUGCCUAUACAAUAAUUCCAGUGAUUUGGCAAAGCAGUAACCUUCGCAUCUGGUUCCUCUGCUGGACGCUUCCCCUUCCCAAUAAAUUUAUUAAAUAAUAAGGUCUCUACUGAGGCAGGAUGGUUAAAAUAUUAGAUCAAUAAAUUAAUACUUUGUUGGUUUGCUUAAGAAAGCUGAACUCUGUUGGUACCAGAUAUUUCCCAGCUCUCUCAUAUAAUCACAUGUGAGAAUUUCCCAUUUGUAGGAACCAGAACAAACUUCAAACUCAACAUUGAUUUUACAAUAUAGAUCAUUUCACUAAAAGAAACCCUCUCUUCAGGGUUUCCAUAGAAUCAAGAAAUGAAGAUUGGAGCCGUGUCACUGGUGGCCAUAGUCCAUAUAGAUAUCUCCUUGUCAGCCCCAAAAUCACAAUAUUUUCAAUUACCCAAGAUAGAAAAACCAUCAAAAUUGACAUCUUUUGCAUGAGCUCAAAUGUAUUUGCAUCAUUAUAUCCAAAAUUCAGAUUCGAACUCUGAACCAGAAACCGCAGGAACUGAAAUUUGAGACCAGAGACGCAACCUUUUUUAGUGUCACAAACAACCUCAAAGUAUUGACAUAGAUCCACGAAGUGCCUAACAGCCACUCAAAAAGCCACCAUCAAAACUUUCUUAAAUUUCCCCAAAAUCCUCUGUCGGUGUAUUCACCUCCACUCAAUCUCCAAACAGCUACAAAAAGUGCCCCAACUGCUAACUUAUUGAAAGCCCAAAUCCAUUUCAAGUAACGCAAGAAAUCCCAAAUUCAUACACCAAUUAAGCUCCAAUCCGCUUCAAUUGACUAACCAUGUCAUGAAUUUGAAUCAGGCACUAAAUUGAUAAGCUUUAGAAAGAGUAGCAAUAUAUUGAUAAAAUAGAAUUGAGUUUUGUGCUUAGAAUUUGGAAGAGGAAGGCUUAAAUAUAAAUAAAAAGAAAGAUCACAGGGUAACUAAUAGCAUACCAUGAAGUGAUCAAGCUCCUUAUCAUCAGCUAUGCCCUGAGUCCCGCCGCCGAGGGCGGAGUAUUUAGCCACUACGUGCUGUGACUGGGCGAGCUGGGCGUCAAUUCUUGGCAACUGAUCCACCGGAGUGGCGAUUCGCAAACACGCCACGUGUGCCGACAACAACUGGUCAUACAACGGGUGAGACAGUAUCUCCGCCU
rnacentral:misc_RNA from 1 species